AAAUACAAAGCUAUUGCCUCAUACGAACAACGUCAGAACUAUAAAGAUGACUUCAAUGCUGAAUAUGAUGAAUAUAGGCACUUGCAUGCAAGGGUUGAAAGUGUUACUAGAAAGUUUGUGAAGCUUGAUGCAGAACGAAAGAGCUGUGCAGCCGGCUCAAAAGAAUACCAGACCAUCCUGGAUGAAGUUCUGCAUGAAUACAAGAAAAUUAAGCAGAACAACCCUAAUUACCAUGAAGAAAAGCACAGAUGUGAAUAUUUGCACAAUAAACUGUCUCACAUUAAAAGGCUAAUAGCAGAAUUUGACCAACGACAAGCCGAGCCAUGGCAUUAGUUGUCUGUUCACAAUUCCAAGUGCUCCUUUUUGGUGGAAAAAACUAAGCUUAUUUAUUUAAAAUUCCAAAUGAGUUAUUAAAAGAUGACCAUCAGAGAAAAUUCAGUUAGAGAACAUUCUUCUCCCUUGGCAAUAUGGGGGAGUUUUUUCUCUCUGUUACCGCUGCUUUCUUUUUCCCAAGUAUUUUUGUUUUCUUGUCUGUACUAGACUUCUGUUUGUCGUCUUAAUCACUGGGGAACCAGUGUCACAAACUUAAAUUUACUCUGAACAUACUUUAUAUGUUAAUGUAGCAAGUGAGCAAACAGAAGUAUGUAUUCUCUGACCUUUACAGUAUGAGGCCUUUGCCUUAAAUGGUAGAAGGUUUAAGUAAUUUGCACAAAAUGAGAAGUUUAAAACUAUGGAGGGUUUAAAUAUGACUACAGUGAAGAGUUAGUGUUUGUUACUUAUCCUUAUUGAAACUAGUGACCUUUUUGCUGUUGGACCCCCAUUGUAACCGUUGCCUUAAGGUGUUUGCUAGUGUACACUUUAGCUACAUGCUUCCUGUGAGCAGAAUGGAAGCAUAAAGUGGCCUACCCAGCGUGUGAAAGAGUUGCAUGUGUGUAUUAGGGUGAGUGUGAGCAUGCAUGAAAAGCAAAAAAAAAUGGAAAAAAAAGCUGCUAUCUUCUGUAGGCCAGACGCUCAGGAUAAAACAACUGAUGAGUGUUGUUCUAGACUUUUCCUAAAAUAGCUAUUUCCUUUGUGGAAAAUGAAAACAUUUCCAUUUCAGUUACAUCAGCUUUAUUAACAUUAAAAAUGUUGAUACUUUACAAUGAGAGAUCUAUAGUUUUCAUGCAAAAAGUAUGAAUCUAACUAUGUAGGUGGCUUAUUUAUAUACAGCUAUAAACUAUUUUUGAAAAACUAUUAUGUAAAGAAGCUGCCACCUACAUGAAAUGUAUAUUUAAUUAUAUAAUUCUCCUGGGUGCCAGGAAUAUAACAGAGCAUAUGUAUUUAAAUGUAAUAUACUGUGAUCAUCAAACAGCACAAAUUUUAAUUUCAUUUCAUGCAGGUUAGCUGUACAGAAACCAUUUUGUUUGAGUUAAACUAUCACAGUUAAUUUAUCGUUUGGGAACAUAAGUUAUUAUAUGGUUGGUAAGAUGCAGGUUUUCCAGUUUAUCUAGAGAUUUCUGUGCACAUUUGGUUUUGACUUUUUUUGUCUUCUCAAAGUGCUGCCAAUUGAAAAGGGAAGCAUAAUGUUUACAGUUCUUAAUAUUGGAACGUUUGCCAAAUAUUUUGGUGGUAUCUUCAAUAAACCUGUCUCCAGCAUCAUUUCCUUCCAGUUUAAACUUGCACUGUAAACCAGAAAAUUGCUACUUUUAUCAACGUGCAUUUAUUUUCAGGAAAUAAGAAAAUACUCUCCUACACACACACACACACACUUGCACUUCUAGAAAUUGCUGUAGCCCCUCUCCAUUUUUAAAUUUAAUUUUUGUAGCGAGUCUGAGUUUUGAGAUCUGCAUUGUUUUCAGACAUUUCAUUUAUUUAAAACAGUCCUGAUUAAAUGGUCCAGAAUUUAAGCAUUGCAUUCAUUUCAUUAAUAUCAUAAGAUGUCACGUAUUGCAAGAAUGGUGAAAUAAGAUGGUAGUUUUAGUAUUGUAGUGACUUUGCCUGUGUCUUAUAAGUCUAAGAAUCUCUGUAGUGCACAGGGGUGAACCACUGACUUACCAGUCCCAAUGAUGCAAGUUGAUCCGGUGCUGGAAGAGGGAGUUACUUGGGGAAUGAAUGGCCAGCAUAUACCCAUCCUAAUAUGAGAGCUGCAGUUCAGUGUGUGGAUACACCUCCAGAGAAGUGGUGCUGGCAAUGCUUCCAGUGUGUGCAGUAAGCUGAGACCCAGUGCUUCUCCUGCCUGACAGUUCUGCAGCUUGGAUGUCUGUGAAUAUAUGGAAUCAUGCACACUUCACUGGGCCAUCAGCAUUACUUCUGACCGUUGCCAUUUGUGGGAGUGAAAAUGUUAGGAGGAAAAACACGACACCACAAGGCUAAUGGCUUAUUCCGUGUAUUCAUAUGCUCUGGCCCUAAUUUUUAACAGUGGUAACAGCAGGAAGUUAUAGUGGUCUGAAUUAGUGCAAGGGGAAACUGGGAUAAAAAUACUGUUUAAAAGCAAAACAACUUGUGGUUAACUACUGGCACAGAUGAAGAAAAAACACUUAUAGGUAUAUAGAUUGUAAUCCCGUUAUUACCUCUCUACUUUGCUGCAAGUCAUGAUUCAGGAGUUUGCUAAUGGCCCUUUGGAGAAAAAAUUGAAUAUUCUACGGAUAACCUUAUAAGUAAGGGAAUAUCACAUUUUUACUACCAUGUAGUAGCUAGUUUCCUGCCCUGAUGUGAAUGCCAUUCAUGAGCCAUACAGUCUUUUGUGGCUUUUGGGAAAGAUUUGGUCAAAUUUUGCAGUCUGCUAAAUGUCAGUAGAAGUUCUGGAAACGUAUAGUUUAGCUGUGGCAAGAGUCCUCUGUUCAUUGAGGUGCGGAUAUCUUGUCUGCAAAAGCUAAUUUGAUGCAGGCUAAUGUGGCAUAUAAUGUCUUAAAUUGGGGGGGAUGCUUUGUGAAGUUAACCCAGAUGUUUUGUAUAGAUAUAGCGUUCUUAUUCUGCUUUUUCUUAGUGUUGGUGUCCAUGCUUAAAUUCUGACCCUUUAAAAAGAUUUAUAAAUUGAGAUUUUGCACAGAUGUCUACAGCCAAAGGCUGACUGGCUUCAUAGAUUGUCUUAAAUCUAAUGUUUGUAUGAUGCUGUAUUCACUAGUGGUUUUGAAUAGAAAAUCUUUUAGAAAAUGUUACGGUUUCUGUAUUUCAUUUAAAAUAUUUUUAAUUCUGUUGGUAGGGUAAAUUCUAAACAUUUUCCUCCUAAACCAUUUCUUAUUUCAAAUGUACUCAGCUGGACAGAGCAUUAUCUUGCUGUAGUUCAUUAGUGUGAGUAUUAGUCAUAGUAUUUCAAAAAAACAGUUUUAGCUUUAAAAAUAUUGCAUGUGUUUUGGAAGGAGUACGCAGUUCACAGUGAUAUACAGAGAAGUCUGUUUAUCAAAAAUUUUGCUACUGGUUAUUUUUCUAAAAAGGAUAUUUAGGUGAUACCAUACAUAUUUGCUUCUGUAAAUUGGUCCAAAGUAUGUUUCAGAGUGAAAUGUAACAUUGCUUUCUGGUUUACAGUUUAAGUAAAUGCACUGAUGCUGGAGAUUAGAUUGAGAGGUCCAGCAGUGCACAUCUCAAUAUAGGCUUGAAAAAGUUUGCUUCAGGAGCCUUAAGCGUAUGGUCCAUUUGGCCCCCUGUUUUAAGCCUUAAAAUCUCAAGGCAUUUAGAACUGUGCUACAUAGGACAGCAAUGCUGUAGUUAAGAACUACUGUUUACAUUGUUCAUAAAGUCUUAUUGUUGGGUCCACCUAUUGCUGCAGAGCAAGGAAUGUGUAAUUAAGACUUUGCUGUGACGGUAUGUGUUGUCUCAAGUCUAAAUUUCACUUUUUUGCAGAGAAAAUAUGAGUAAAUGUGUUAGUAGUAUCUGCUUGUUUUAGCAGAAAUUUGUCACAUGGUGGCAUUUUCCUGCCAUGUUUCAGGAAAGCAAAUAUUUUAAAUUCCCACGUGUUCUGUGAAAGUAUUGCUGAUUGUAGCUUUUGAGUGUAAUAUAGAUUUGUAUUCUACAUUGCAGUGAUAAAGUGGAGCCAAAGUAAUUUCAGAGCAAGAUAUACUUAAGUAGACUUUGUGGAAAAACAUGACUGAUCUAAUGCUGACAGCCAGAACAGUAGUUGCAGCCUGGCUGAGCAUAUUACUUUACGUUUGUUCUGUUUUGUCAGCAGCUUUCAUUUAAAGCUUAAACAUUUGAUUUUCACUUGAACCUAAUUGUCAGAAAGCUUAACUGUUGCAUAAUGUUAAGCAGAAUAAAAUGUUGCUGAUAACUGUGGUGUCCAUAAUUAGCAAACGUGGGGUACUGCUGCGUUAUUUUACUCAUUCCAGUGUAACUUGGGAUUUUUUUCCACUUAAAAUGGAUCUCAUUGUUUAUACCACAAGCAGUGUGGUCAAGCAGUGCAGGUGUUUAUUACUGAGGUUUUGUAUUUGCAUUUGUGACUUGACCUCUCCAUUUGGAUAAUUUGUAUAAGACUAAAUUAAUAGGUACUUUAUGUGCACCCGAUGGACGUAGCUGAAGCCAGCACUUUGUCUUUUCCAGAGGAUACAAACUCUCGACACUAAAGAAUGGCAAUAAAUGAAUGUUGAAGAGCAACUCAACUGGAAGUUGCAUUGCAUUUCAGAAGAACUUACUGAAAGCAAGUGUAUAGUUUUGAAGUAUUGCUGAUUUAUUUUAUUUUGUUCCACAGAAAACUAUUUAUAAUCCUUGCCUUACAAGAUGAACACUGCAGGGGCAAUUUGUUUGCUAAUAGCAUUUGAGCCAAUAUUGCCCAUGUCCUGAAUUUACUGCACCAGUUAAAGUUGAACAAUAAAAUGUCAACUUUUUGCAUCCAG